CCCCUCCUGGUUUCCCUGUUCCCAGACUGCUCCUCCAUUCAAAAGUACCAUGCAUAAAGACAGCAUGGCAGUCCGGGAAACCCCUGUCUUGCACAGUUUCCUUCCUCUUUUCUUCUUCCUAAAACACAGUGGCUUUGUCAUUACACAACCACACAGUGUCCUCUGAGCAAGGAGAGGAGAGAGCACGCCGGUAUCCCUGCCAGAGCGAGCACUCCGUGCUGCUCCAUUCAUAACAGGCUCUGCAGGCUCACCCCCCUGGGAGACCCUUCUGGUGUGAGCAGGAGGGAGGGAUCCCCCUUUUAUCCUCAAUCAUCUUGUCAGGAGAAUAGACAGUGCCUCUGGGCAUGGACAAUUUUUAAAAACCACUAACUUUUAAACUUUCUUUGGCCAAAAUGUUCCUGAUUUUAAGCAGGUAAUAAGGAGCAAGGGAAAACAGUCUUGGCAUGCAAGCAGGGAAGAGGUGCUGUACCACCAGCACUAACAGAGUUUUUACCGUUAAUAGAAAUAUAUUUUUCACAAGUGGAAAAACUCUUCGAAUCUCUCAAGCCUAAUUAGUCAGCGGCAGGUCUGGAGGGCUAGGGGCUGGGAACACUGCAAGCCUCAGUUCUCCUCCCCCAGCUAUCAGCAGAACGAGGACCAGGUAUUACCACGGACUGCGUGAAAUCGCUCACCCCGGCGAAGUGCAUUUGCUCUUCUUCUGGAGGUCAGGGAUUAUUUACUGGCUGCUGAAGAGAAGCCAGUUUAGCCACAGUGUCUAUUACCUUCCUCUAGAAAUCCCCCUGAGGAGAAGCUGAGUAAGCUGAACCAGUAGAUGCUGAGGCCAGAGCAGUGCUUUCCUCCUAAAGCAGCUGUUGCCACAUACAACCAAACAGAAGAAAAAAAACCAAAGAAAACAAGACAAGCAACAACAACAACAACAAAAAAAAAAGGAAGGGAGGGAGGAAAAAUGUGCUCAGGGAUUUGUUCUGUCACCAUGUAGGUCUCUUGCUGUGUGCAGCUGCAAGGCAAAGCUGAAAAAAUGGGAAGAAUGUGUCUUUUGUUCAAAUAAGGACUGCGGCAAGUCGAUCCUGCUGUUCCUAUGGGCUUGGGAUUCAUCCUUUUUUUCCUAACUAACCAAUCUGAGGUUUAGAUGCGUGUGUUUUCCUCCCUGGUCCUGCAGGUCUGCUGGAAACAUCUUCAAGCGUUUCCUCCUCCAGGCAAAGGAUCAGCAGAAAUGGGAGAUGGGGGGAAGGCGUCUCAGCUCAUGGGCCAGAACUUCUGCUUCUACAGAGUUUCAGAGCAGCAGAGCGCUGCAGGGGGCUUGAAUGAGACUAAGGUGGGGAACACAACUGCUUGUCACUGACCUUCUGAUCAGCGUGUGGCCCUCCGAGUCUGUACACUCAGUGGAAAUCAGGUCCUGACAGUGUUUUCCACUUGAAACCCUAUGAAGGCGAAUGAGAAGAACCCUGGGGAAAUUGGUCGUAACCAGAAAAUGGCAUAAGGCACCUUACGAGCCUUAUUGCGGUGUGUGGGAUUCCCCCCUGACCUGCCUGGGGACACCUCCGUACAGCGAGCCAUGGCAGCAUCCCUGCCCGGCCGGGCGGCUUGGGGUCCUGGCUUGGACCUGGGAGUGGCAGAGGACACUGCCUGCCUGCACCAGGGAAGUAGGAAAUGCUUCAGUAAGACCUGCCGGGUGUGCACUGUGCUUGCUUUGGUCCAGGUGAUUCCCCAGAAAACCACAGUCCAGGCCAAACGGGUGGCUCAGCACUGGCUCUGCCACAGCUCCGCUGCCACAGCCUGAUGGGAGCGGCGCAGCAGCCUCUGCCCCCACUCCUGCAGCAGCCAAGCACCCCUAAAGGAAGAAAAGAGUGUGAGGACAGGAAGAUCAUCCUCCCAGCUGCUCCUGAGCCCACCAGAAAGCCCUGCCUUCUCCCCAGCAUGUCCUGUCAGGGACUGUCCCUGGGGGGCACGGAAAAGCAUCUUCCUUCCAAACCUGAGAACAGGAGUUGGUCUUUGCAAGUUACCACAGGAAACACUCCGCUUUCUGAGCAAAAACACUGAAAAAAAGCAUCUGCAUGGCACACCCAUUCGCACUGAGAUCCAGUACACGCAGCUAGAAAUUGCAUCGGCUUGAUCCAGGGGUGGUUUUGUUUUGAGGACCAUGAUUUCAGGCAAUGUCUUCCUCGGCAUCUCUCUGUCCCGAUCUGCUUUGGUUGCCUGAAAAUUGCCUUCCCACAUUGCUCAGAGUUUCUGCAAGUAUCUGUGUUGCUGCCCCCCACCCUGGCCCUCACUGAGUUUUCCUGGGUUCUCACAGAUGUUGUGGGUAGCGUCACACAGUUACCAUCCAAACCAGGGUGGGACUGCCUGCCCCAAGGCAAUUCCACAGUGGCAUCUGCUUUCUGCUUCUCCAAAGUGGGAUCCUCUCCCACUGCACGGUUUGGAUCUUCCCUUUCACAGCUCUUCUGCAGUGCCUGUGCUCAGUGCAGCACGUCACCGGCUGCAGUGGCUUCAAGGCAAAUCCACCCCGUAGCUCUCUGCCUUCUAAGGAAAUGGAAGAAAGAAGGGCACUGACAGCUCAGCCACGAUUUAAAGCAUCCAUGAAGUAGAGAAGAAAGAUCAGCCCAAACACGUGCCUUGCUGGCUUAGCUAAUUAGAGUGGAAGUGGUGAAACCCUCCUUGAUGAGCAGUAGCAGGUCAUGAGAGCUGAGUCACCAAGACACCUAUCUGUCAGCAGGUGAUGUGGGAAAUGCCAGCCAUCUCUCAGAGGACCCACACAUGUGAUGGCACGUGCCGCUCAGGUCGCAGAUGUUCAAAGGGAUCAGAUUUAACUGAGCAUCUUACUGAGGCAAUGGAGGGUGGCUGUCACACCACGAUUAACACAAGCGAAGGGAGUCCUGCGUAUAGCACCGUAUGGAUACUUUUACUUUCGGUGCUGGCUUGCUUUAUACAGCCUGGGUGCAGGCAGGAACUCCACCAAAACAAGUUUGCAAAAGGAACAUUUUGUUUGUGGAAGGAACCUGGAAUUUCCCAAGCAUUCAAGGGCCCAGCUGUAAACUCAGCGAAGUGGAACAGAUGCAGAGAGAACCUUUUUCUUACGGCGAUGUUGGUUGAGAAGCCAUGUGCGGUGGUGUUCCAUGACAAAUGUGCUUGCAAUGCGAGGGACUUGCCUUCAGGAAGAGGACACACCGAGCUGCGUUUGCUUUACUGCUGAAUGAAAGCAUCUGCAUGGGAAAUACCUAACACUCCCCGGGUCUGUGCGUUGGCUUCACGCCUUGGGUUGAAUCAGUCUCCAGGCAUGGUCUAAGGCAUGGGCCAAACAUCCAGCAGUGGGACACCGGUUGGUGUCAGAAUCAGCAUCCGUUUACCUGCCAGAAGCCAUACGCUUGCCACGGAUUGAUUUGCAGCCCCAAAACCUCCAGCACAAGACUGCCCUCAGGAUCAAUUUUGAAUAUAUCACCUCCUGUGAGCUGAGCUUUCUUCUUGGUAUAUUUAGAGCAACCAAAAGUUGGAGGCGAUGGGUAGAGGGAAUAGGAUGUACACGUGCGAGGGGGCUGGAUGCUGUGACAGCGAGAGGCAGCCAAGCAGACCUGAUGGAAGGCUGCCAGCUGUAAGGCAAACUGAAGACUUGCCCUCACACAAGCAUGAGGACUUUAAUAGCAAUUAUAGAGAUGGCAAUUGGAUGCAGAUUUGGGGGCUGGCUGUUCAGAGAUGGCACGGUAAGCCCCAGGUUGGAGGUAUGCCCAGUUCACAUGACUCAGGAGAAGAGUAGGAGAGGAAAUUCUGCUGUGUUGCAACUGCAAAAACUUAGGAGAAAAAAAUGUUCAGGUGAGUUAGAAAACAAAUACCUGAAGGUUCCAAUAAGUAAGAAAAAAUGAAAUAAAUUCUUGUCUUCUGAGUCUACAGAAGUGAUCUGUUUCAGUUGGGAAGUUCUCAAUACGAUUUUAAUCGUAUGAUUUUUUUAAACAAUACAUUGUUUCUAACUGAAACAAACCAGAGCAAAACAAAAAACUUGGCUCUUUUGAAGUGUUCCACUUGUUCUUAAAUUUGAAGUGGAAAAUUUGGAGAUACUGACACUCAUUCCCAGGAUGACGCUGUGCCGCUGGGCUCACACCUUCUGCACACACAAGUCUCUGUGAGAGAUGUCUGUGGUCCUACUUGUGGCACAGAGCUGCCACGUGCUCUGCUGAGAUGCUCUUCUCUAAUUUUUUGCAGUGCAUGGAUGCAGCUCAGUCCUCUUGCCUUCCGCCCCUCAGCACGGCUGGUUUUAGGAAGAGGCUUCCUAGAGCACCAUGCCUGGGAAGGCUUGGUCAUGCUGCCGUUUGUCGGGAACUGCUCAUGGAAGGAAGCCAACUGCCAAGUAACCUGUGCAGGUUCUCUUUCCUGCUUUGCCCAGACUUCUCUGAUAGAGGAAACUACGAGUUAUUAGUUCCUUACUCCACCAGCCCCUCAGAUACAGGAGUGGCUUGCAGAGGGAAGUGGGUGAUCAAGUCACCUUGGGAGCCAGCUGCAUGGAGAAGGGAAACUGGCUUUGUGUGCCACGGCCCAGGGGCCGAAGGCAGCCCUGGCCAGAAGCCCUGGCCUUUCCUGGACCUGCUCACCUCCCGUCCCCUGGGACAGAGCCAGAGGGGAGGAUGCUGUGGGAAAAGCUUAAGCAUUUCUGUGUGACAAGUGCUGCUGCUGGGCUGCGAGGGGGAUGAGACCACCUCGGCAGUGGACCUGGGGGACCUGCUGGACCCGUGUCUGCUGCCAGUGAUGUCUUGCCCAGCAUUUGCACGGCGGUGGCACUGCUGCCAUUUCCCCCUCUGCCUUCUUGCCAUUUCACAGCUGCUGAACACACCCUCACGCUGUUUGAUCGCCUGUUUAAACCUGGCCAACCGCAGGCAAAGCCUGCCAGCCUCCCACACCGCUGCCGGCUAACCCCGUUUCCAGCUAAUUAUUUCAGUUUCCACAGGUUUGAGCUCCGUCCCGCAAGCGUGAUGGCCGAGGCAGGAGCCACAGCAGUUUGCCAGCUGUCCCUGGCUGCGGUGGGGUGCUCGGGCAGUGGGGCAGCCUGUGCUUCAGCCUGCUGCCGGGGUCAGGGCUGCAAGGACGGGGCACGGCGAGCUCUGGGGUGGACGGACAGGCAGGCGGUGCUGGAUGUUUUCCUGCAGCUCAGGAAAUUUCAUAGAGAGGUGGAUUCGUGUUGGAGAGGAGGUGGAGGGCGAGUGUGCUGGAGGGCGUGUGGGUGGUGUGAAUCCCCCUUCUCAGGAGGGUUUUCCCCAAGCCAGGCUGCGCACAGCCCGGGGCAAGGAGCCUUCACGCAGCCUGGGGGAGGGCUAGCUUGUUUGCUGGGGCGAAAUGUUUCAGAGCAGCUGCUGCCAGGAGUCAGAGCUAAGUUUUUAGAUGAAAUCCAGAAACACCAGCCUUGACGCAUGCCAGAAUGGAAACCUUUCCACUUAGAAAAAACUGAAAGAGGAGGGUGGUUUCAUUCUGCGUGCUGCACAGGCUGGGCAGCCAUCCUCACCAACUGGCACACGUGCUGGGCUGUGGCUGAGGCACGGCGUGUCCUUUUCCCGUGCAGAGAGGAAAAACACCCCACGGGUCCUCCCAUGCUUUCCAACACCAUCUCCCCAUCUCUCCCAUCUCCUCUAACACUGGCUGUGUCCCACUCAGCCCCUGGGCACUGCCCAGUGCAAACAAGGAGCCGCAGCCUCACAAAGACCUUCUGUAGGGCCUUGGGAAACUCCCUCCUCCAAGCUACUGAAAUCCGGGGGUAAUAAUUAACCGAGUUAAGAGUUGCACUGUAAUUGUAGCUGUGCACCCUUCAGGGGGUGCGUGCAUGUGAAAAAUAUUUGUGUUCUAAAGCUGUUCCUUGCAGCACUUUGCACACAUUUGCUCAUAUUUUGCUUUCAGCUGGAGGGAGGAAGAGCUUCCCCGUGAGAGAUGGGCAGGAAAACGAAUCUGAAGUAGCUUAUGACUGGGAGUGGGAAAAGGAUUUAAACGAAAGGGGUGUAGGCCUGUUCCUCCGGGGCAGGGAAGCCCCUGGGGCUGGUGGUGGGCAGGCAGGAGGCUGCACUCCCAGUGCCGCAGAGGCAAUGGAGCCCAGCGCCGCAGCUCGCGGCUGCCGUAAAGGGGUAAAAGUGCAGAAGGGAGUGAGCGGGGAAAACCCCGGCUCUCUUCUGACAGGGACUGGAAAGUCCUGUUUGGAAAAUUGGACAAGGAGACACUCCUGGGAAAAUCUGAGCACUGGAGCAAGGGAAGGGAGGGCAGUCAAACCCUCAGGGUGUCGGGGGGAAUUUCUGUUACAAUCCCUCUGGACUUUGGCUUCUUACCUUAUGGCCCGAUAAAUGUGUCAGCGUUUAAAGGGAGCCUUUUGGCCCUGAUGUUAAUGCUUCAGAGAGCUGUCUGAAGGGACAGGGAGGUGAGGGGUGCCAGGUAUGUGACAGGCGCUUGCUGAGGAUGUGAAAUGGCUGUCCCAACAGCAUGUGCCAUCCUGGGUUGUGCAAGGAGACAGGGGUUUCCUGUUGCCUUGUCCCUUGGGAUCCAGCACAGCUCUUGCUCUCCAGCAAAGCACUGGUGCUGGGAGCAGAGCAAUGCCGGAAAAUGCCCUUCCUCCAGCCUCCUGAAGUGAGGGCAGGCUUUCAUCCAGGGAGAGAGAGGGCCCUCCCUGCCAUCCCUGCUCUUCAUUCUGCAAUCCUUUCUUCUAGGAACAACCAGAUGCUUAAUUAUUGCCACAGUCCAGAUUUUGCAGAAAAACGAUCUGUACUGGAUUCCUGCCCAGCCCAGAGCCCACCACCAUGGAAGAUUUUCCAUUAACACAAGUCACAAACGAUA